AUUGAACGCUGGCGGCAGGCCUAACACAUGCAAGUCGAGCGAGCGGCGGACGGGUGAGUAAUGUCUGGGAAACUGCCUGAUGGAGGGGGAUAACUACUGGAAACGGUAGCUAAUACCGCAUACCAUCAGAUGUGCCCAGGUGGGAUUAGCUAGUAGGUGGGGUAACGGCUCACCUAGGCGACGAUACCUAGCUGGUCUGAGAGGAUGACCAGCCACACGGGAACUGAGACACGGACCAGACUCCUACGGGAGGAAGCAGUGGGGAAUAUUGCACAAUGGGCGCAGGCCUGAUGCGGCCAUGCCGCGUGGGUGAAGAAGGCCUUCGGGUUGUAAAGCACUUUCAGCGGGGAGGCGUUACCCGCAGAAGAGGCACCGGCUAACUCCGUGCCAGCAGGCGCGGUAAUAC
rnacentral:rRNA from 1 species